rfam:Dipodomys ordii contig_22841, whole genome shotgun sequence.
GGUGGCUCAGUGGUAAAGCAUUUGCCUUGCAUGCAUGAGGCCCUGGGUUCGAUUCCUCAGCACCA